UACAGAAGCCUCGAGCGUUGUUCGGAAUUACUGGGCGUAAAGGGCGUGUAGGCGGUCCGCUAAGUCUGAUGUGAAAGCCCGGGGCUCACCCCCGGAAGGGCAUUGGAAACUGGCGGACUCGAGUCUCGGAGAGGAAGGUGGAAUUCCUGGUGUAGCGGUGAAAUGCGUAGAUAUCAGGAGGAACACCGAUGGCGAAGGCAGGUCUCUGGGCCGAUACUGACGCUGAGGAGCGAAAGCGUGGGGAGCGAACAGG
rnacentral:rRNA from 1 species